rnacentral:lncRNA from 1 species
GUUCUAGUAGACGGAUUUUUUGCAAUUUUCGUACCUGGGCAUAUAAUUGUAAACGUCGUGAAUUUCGAGAUUAUUUUGAUUUACCACCAUCACCAAGAUCAAUAAGACAAAGAACUAAAUAGAAGCCCAUCCAAAAAAAAUAAAUAAAUAAUAAAAUUGAGAAUUGCAAAAGUUGAUUCCAUCAAAUAUUAAUUCAUUUCAAGUACAAACAAAUUCACCUAGAUUGUAAUGUUACUCAGAGCCCCAAGAGCUCCGCCGAAGAUCACUCUUUGCACCAUGCGAAGAGCGAUAUCUCUGAAAUGAAGCGUGGAGAACGCAAUCUCUGCACACCAUGGAGAUCGUCUCCAUGCUGUGCGGAGAGCAGAGACGUCUCCGCGCUGAGCGGAGAUCCGCAAUCUGGCGAAGACUUCUCUGCCCACCGAUGCGGUCCGUAUUCAAGCUCGACUGAAUUAAAAUUUUCAAAUUCGAUAGAUUCUAUUUCAUCAUUUGAUUUAGACAAAAUGGAAAGAAAGCAAUCGCUUAACUUAUAUAGGAAUAAUUGAUCAACCAGUCCAGAACAAUAGUAUGUGCAAUUUAGGCCUUCUUUUGCAAAUUUGAAUUUAGACGAGAUUUCGAUUUUUUGGAUUUUUGGAAAAAAGGAAAAGAAAAUGAAGAAGAAGAGUAGUACAGAAGUGGUAGGUUUAGUGGAAAAGUAGACAGAGAGUACAAAUGGGUACUAAAAAUAGAUUGCCUCAUGCUUCCUUCCAAUGGCCCAAUAUAAUACAUCGUUUUUAGCUAAUGAAAUAAGAGGAAAAAAUUAGUAGAGGACAAUACAUAUUUA